rnacentral:rRNA from 1 species
UACGGAGGGUGCAAGCGUUAUUCGGAUUUACUGGGCGUAAAGGGCGCGUAGGCGGUCGUAUAAGUCAGAUGUGAAAGCCCGGGGCUCAACCCCGGAAGUGCAUUUGAUACUGUACGACUUGAGUAUGGGAGAGGGAAGUGGAAUUCCUGGUGUAGAGGUGAAAUUCGUAGAUAUCAGGAGGAACACCGGUGGCGAAGGCGACUUCCUGGACCAAUACUGACGAUGAGGCGCGAAGGCGUGGGUAGCAAACAGG